rnacentral:rRNA from 1 species
GAUGAGCGCUAGCUACAGGCUUAACACAUGCAAGUCGAGGGGAAACGACAUCGAAAGCUUGCUUUUGAUGGGCGUCGACCGGCGCACGGGUGAGUAACGCGUAUCCAACCUGCCCACCACUUGGGGAUAACCUUGCGAAAGUAAGACUAAUACCCAAUGACGUCUCUAGAAGACAUCUGAAGGAGAUUAAAGAUUUAUCGGUGAUGGAUGGGGAUGCGUCUGAUUAGCUUGUUGGCGGGGUAACGGCCCACCAAGGCGACGAUCAGUAGGGGUUCGGAGAGGAAGGCCCCCCACAUUGGAACUGAGACACGGUCCAAACUCCUACGGGAGGCAGCAGUGAGGAAUAUUGGUCAAGGGGCGAGAGCCUGAACCAGCCAAGUAGCGUGCAGGAUGACGGCCCUAUGGGUUGUAAACUGCUUUUAUAAGGGAAUAAAGUGAGUCUCGUGAGACUUUUUGCAUGUACCUUAUGAAUAAGGACCGGCUAAUUCCGUGCCAGCAGCCGCCGUAA